UGGGUUCGGGAUAGGGUUUAGGUUUGGGUUUUCAAGUUUAGGUUUAGGUUUAGGUUAGGGAGUUGAGAUUAGGAUUAAGUGUAGGUUUAGGUUUAGGGAUUUGAGAAUACAUUUAGGUUUUAGGUUUAGGUUUAGGUUAUAAGUUUAGGUUAUAGGUUAAGGUUUAGGUUAUAGGUUUUAGUUAAGGUUUAGGUUUAGGUUAUAGGUUAUAGGUUAUAGGUUAUAGCUUUAGGGAAUUGAGAAUAGGUUAAGGUUUAGGUUUAUGAAAUCGGGUUCGGGUUCGGGAUAGGGUUUAGGUUUGGGUUUUCAAGUUUAGGUUUAGGUUUAGGUUAGGGAGUUGAGAUUAGGAUUAGGUGUAGGUUUAGGUUUAGGGAUUUGAGAAUACAUUUAGGUUUUAGGUUUAGGUUUAGGUUUAAGUUUUAGUUUAUAGAUUUAGAUUAUAGGUUUAGGUUUUGGUUUUAAGUUUAGGUUAAGGUUAUAAGUUUAGGUUAUAGGUUAUAGGUUAAGGUUUAGGUUAUAGGUUUUGGUUUAGGUUAAGGUUAUAGGUUUAGGUUUAGGUUAUAGGUUUUGGUUUAGGUUUUAGUUUAUAGGUUUAGGUUUUGGUUUUAGGUUAAGGUUUAGGUUAUAGGUUUUGGUUUAGGUUAAGGUUAUAGGUUUUAGUUUAGGUUUAGGUUUAGGUUUUAGGUUUAGGUUCUAGGUUUAGGUUGAGGUUAUAGGUUUAGGUUAGGUUU